GCUCGCAGGCGGUUUCUUACGUCUGAUGUGAAAGCCCCCGGCUCAACCGGGGAGGGUCAUUGGAUACUGGGAAACUUGAGUGCUGAAGAGGAGAGUGGAAUUCCACGUGGAGCGGUGAAAUGCGUAGAGAUGUGGAGGAACACCAGUGGCGAAGGCGACUCUCUGGUCUGUAACUGACGCUGAGGAGCGAAAGCGUGGGGAGCGAACAGGAUUAGAUACCCUGGUAGUCCACGCCGUAAACGAUGAGUGCUAAGUGUUAGGGGAUUUCCGCCCCUU
rnacentral:rRNA from 1 species